GCUCCGUUGGCCUGAUGGCAGAGCGUCCGCCUCGGAUGCGGGAUUUCGCGGGUUCGAACCCCGGUCGAGCC